GCUUGUAUGACAUAUCAACCACUGCCCUUUAUAUGAAUUGCUAAUUGGAAUAACUGUCGGUCAUUUCUUCAAUCUGGAAAUUAGUGCUUCUGGUUUUCAGUUCCUGAUUAACUCAAUAACAUUCAGAAUGUCCCCAAAAGAACAAACAGAACACACCCCUCCCCCAAGGAGUUUAUAACCUAAUUUUGGACGUCUGACAAAGGUUGCGAGCAGCAAGCAAUGGGGACAGUGGCAAAGAGCAGUAGGAAAUAAAAUAGCUAAAAUAAUAUAUGAUAUGUAGAUUUGAUAUGGGCACAUCUUGAAAUUCUCCUAUUACAGUAUUUUUAUUUUUCUCAUUAUUUUAAUUUCUUCUCUUUAUGGGCCUUACCAGAAGAAGAAUAGUUAAAAUGUAUUCUCUGUUAAUCAUUGCUAUGCUCUGCACCAGGCUGACAGAGAGGAAAAGAUAACUCCCACACCCAAGGAGUUUAUAUAUUAAAGUGGACAGACUGUACAGUUUGGACACCUUGCGCAGCAGAUGACCUAUUGGAAGUCCACUCACACAAUACUGUGAUGACUUUAUUUCCUGACUGGCUUUUUGUUGGAAGACUUCUUGGAAGAAGUGUUAUAAGGAGGAAUAUAAAUGAAAAGAUGUAUUUAGUGCCAACUUAUUUAGUGUAGGGACUAUUAUGUCUUUUAAAGAAAGAUAUAAUUAGCUCACUUGGGAUGUUACUCAGGACUUACAUUUUGUUCUGCUGCUGGGUUUUAGAUCGCUUGGAUAGAGGCAUAUCUUGGGGAAGAUUUAUUAAAGGGGGUGCUGUGUAUCUUACUAAAGAGGAAGGAUAGAAGUUGAUAAAGUACAGGUAGGGACUGAAGAGAAACAGUCAAAUAAAAGAGUCCCAUUCAAUUAUACCACAUGAAGGUACAUGGAACAUGUCAGGAGUCAAGCCCGACAGCUGCACCUGCUCAGUACUCCUGAUAUCCUAAUGGUUGGCUGGCUGAUGGACUGUCAUGCCGGAUUUGUCUGAGGAAGCCAGCAGGUGGCCUCAGUCCAGCUUGGGUGGUGAGAGAGACUGGAGAGCCUACGUGGAUUGUCACACCAUGUACUGAACCCAUGUGGAACUGCAUAACAUCUCCAGAGUAACUGAAUUCAUAACUUGCAUGGACACAUAAUGCUUCUUGUGCUAUGUCCAUGCGCCUUACUGCAGAGAAGAACCAGGGUGCUUGUAAAAGCAGAUGAAAACAAAGAGUGGGCGUUCACACAGUUAUAUGCCAGUUCCCCACAAACCACAGUUUAACAGCUGCUGAUACAGAUUAAGGAUGUUAAGGACUAGUUGAGUAUCCGAUAAGCAAAUGCGCCUCUGUUUCAAAGCAGUGCUGCAAGGAGCUGACCCUGGGAACAGGAGCACAACUUUGAGGGAGGUUAAGGGUCCGCACCUGGACAGAAUGACUGAAUCCGAACCCAGGGGGGCUGGACCUGCAGUGGGGGGGGGGGGGGGGGGUUGGGCGCGGACCAUGACUGGACCUCAGCCAUAAACCUGCUUUAAAAAAUCUUUUUCUUUUUCCCUUUCUCGUAGCAUGAUGACUCAGUUAUUCAAACUAGGGAAAAUAUCCUCCUUUCGUAGCCUGUGUCUACACUAAACACUUUCCAGCAGCUCAGGCUACUGAUGCAGCUGCACUUCUGUAAGCUCUCUAAUAUAGCUGCUGUUCAGUUGAUGGGAGAGAGCUCUCUGAUUAGCUUAGCUACUCCAGUUCCCAUGAAUGGCAGUGUUUAUGUCUGUGGGGGCAUAUCUACGGAGAAUAUCGACACUCCGGAGGUCAGUCUUUUAGUGUUGGAUUUAGUGGGUCUAAUGUAGAACCCUAAACUGAACGCUGAGGGUAGCAUCCGUUGUCAUCUGGUACUCCUCAUUCCUCAAGGAAAGCCGGAGGGAGUAUGAACUCCUGUCAGCCUCCCAUAGUGUGGACGCUGUGGCAUUUUGGCUUAAGGUAAGCUGAAUCCUGCUAUGCAUUUUGUGUGGCUGGAUGGUAUACCUUAACUCAACCUGCCUGGUCUAUACUGCCUUGGAGAAGCUGUCCCACCAAUAUACCAAUGUGCACACCAGUGCUUAUGUCAGCCUAACCGAACAACGUAAGUUACACUAACAUAAGGUCAAAAACUAAGGCUAUGUCUACACUACCAGAUUGAUAUUUUCUUUUUAGUUUGUGUUUUUCAGUUCACUUUAGUGGUCCACAAUUUUUUCUUCCUGGAUGGACUAUGGAUGGAUACUUGGAGUUGGCUUCAUGUAAACAGCCAGCCUGAGAGCUAUCCGAGCCUGAGAGAUAUUGUUUCAUGUCCCUGUUGUGAAGUGAGCUGUAGUUCCUCACAGAUACAAUUGCAAUUUUGUGUGUAUGCAUUCAUAAUCAGAGCCUCCUAAUGACAUCAAAUUCAGAAAAUUACAGGUGUUCACAAAAGACUUGACAUGACAUACAUUUAUAUCCAACAGUAUACACAAUCAGUUGAUUCACUUGCUCAUUCUUUGGAAUUCAAAUGCUUUGUUCUUUUAUUGGGGUGUCUGCAACCUCAUCAUUGUCCCAGUCAUGGAAUAAAAAACAAUUCUAUACUUAGAUGCAUUGUUUUUUCUUACUUAAAACUACAGUAGAGUUGUUUCUUCACUUCUCAGGCAUAUACCAUCUUGCACCUACAGUCUUGCAGAGAAUAUGUUUGCUUUGAUUUAAAUAUAUAGAUUCUUAGGAAUUAAUUAUAUAAAUUCUGGAAGGGUUGAGUAUUACUAUUUGCUGCUAACUAAAGGUAAGAUGAAAAACAGCAUCAAAAUGAAAAAAAAAAAUCAAUCCUGCAAGUUUGUCCUUGGUAUUGUAAUAAUGGCAGUCCUUAUGCAGGAAAUAACGCUCACUGAUGACAAUCAGUGUUUUACCUGACUGUUGGCGACAGGCCCUACAUUGCCAAUUACCAAUUGUACGGAUCUAAAAAAAAAUGUAACUAGUUUCACUGAAUAAUAUACAACUCUGGUUUGGUAGGGAACUCUGAGGCCUAGUAUACACUAGUCCAGGCAGGUCGGCUUAAGGUACACCAUCCAGCUAUGCAAAUACGUAGUUGGAUUUGGCUUACCUUAAGCCAUGCUGCUGCAGAGUCUACAGCAGGGGUGGGGAAUCUUUUUGGGGUUGGGAGCCACUGACUGACAGAAAAGUCAGUUGCAGACCGCAAACAAACAGCGUUGGAUUGGGGGGUCUAUACUAGACCCGCUAAAUUAAACACUAGAGGAUAGACCUCUGGAGGGCCAAUCUUUAUAGUGUAGAGAAGCCCUGAGAGCCUGAUCCUCAGGGGUAUCAGGAUCAGGUGUAUAAACAAGAAAAAAUAGUGAGCUAAAUUACUGUACUCAAAGCUACUUCAUGGUAUGCAUUAAUACAGAAAGUCAGCAAAAUGAUACUAUUGGCAACUCAAACUGCUCUAAGGAUGAAUUUAUUCAUUGUCAUCAAAACCAAACAUCAAUAGUAAUGGCUACCUGGAUAAAUUCACAUCAAGCUGACCUGGCUAAUUAUCCCCUUCGUCACAAAGCUAUUCCUUGUAUCCCAAUGUGUCACGUGUAUCAGUGAACAUGCUGGGUUUGCUGUAAUGGGUGCGUCUAGACUGCCAGCUGUGUACAUUGGCUGCUUGAAUUUGCGCAAGAGCACUGAUGUUCUAAUGUAAGAAUUCAGUGCUUCUUGCACAAAUACUUUGACGCUCCCGCUCAGGGAUAAGCCCUCUUGCGCAAGAAUACUUGCACAAGAGGACCAGUGUAGAAAGGCACCUUAAUUUUUUGCGCAAAAAAGCUCCAUGUCUAAAAUGGCUAUCGGAGCUUUCUUGCACAAAAGCAUGUCUAUACUAGGCACGGAUGCUUUUGCGAAAAAGCACUUUCUGCACAAAAGCAUCCGUGCCAAUCUAGACACUCUUUUGCAGAAAUACUUAACGGAAAAACUUUUCCGUUAAAAGUAUUUCCGCAAAAUCAUGCCACUCUAGACGCAGCCAAUGUGUAUGCCUUUGUCCCAUGGCAAAGAAAUCCAGAUUACAAUGUGUUGUUGAAUCCAACAGAACUUUAAUUCCACAAUAGAUUUGUUUGAUACAAUUUGAUUAUGGGCACAGGCUUCUGUAAUUUAUUUCAGUGUGUAUUAAAUAUGUAUGCUGUUUGAGUGAUAUGGUAUUGUAUGUUCUUUCAUAACAGGAAGUAUAGCAGGCAUGUAUUUGUUUGUAUUAAAGAAGUGGUAUUUUAAAAUAUCAAAAAA